rnacentral:rRNA from 1 species
GACGAACGCUGGCGGCGUGCUUAACACAUGCAAGUCGAACGGGUCUGCCCUGUUUUUUGCGGGGUGGGUCAGUGGCGAACGGGUGAGUAACACGUUAGUAACCUGCCCCUCACUUCUGGAUAACCGCCGGAAAGGGUGGCUAAUACGGGGUGUUCUUGCUGUGCCGCAUGGUGUGGCUGGGAAAGAUUCACUUUUUUGGUGUUUUGGUGGGGGAUGGGCUCGCGGCCUAUCAGGUUGUUGGUGGGGUGAUGGACUGCCAAGGCGUUGACGGGUAGCCGGCCUGAGAGGGUGGGCGGUCACACUGGGAAUGAGAUGCGGCGAAGACUCCUGCGGGCGGCAGCAGUGGGGGGUAUUGCACAAUGGGAGGACGGAUGAUGCAGCGCCGUCGCGUGAGGGAUGGAGGCCUUAGGGUUGUGAACCUCUUUCGCCGGUGAAGAAGGUCCUGCUCUAUGUGGUGGGGUUGACGGUAGCCGGGUUAUGAAGCGCCGGCUAACUACGUG